rnacentral:rRNA from 1 species
UCUUUUUCCACCGGAGCUUGCUCCACCGGAAAAAGANGAGAGUGGCGAACGGGUGAGUAACACGUGGGUAACCUGCCCAUCAGAAGGGGAUAACACUUGGAAACAGGUGCUAAUACCGUAUAACAAUCNAAACCGCAUGGUUUUGAUUUGAAAGGCGCUUUCGGGUGUCGCUGAUGGAUGGACCCGCGGUGCAUUAGCUAGUUGGUGAGGUAACGGCUCACCAAGGCCACGAUGCAUAGCCGACCUGAGAGGGUGAUCGGCCACAUUGGGACUGAGACACGGCCCAAACUCCUACGGGAGGCAGCAGUAGGGAAUCUUCGGCAAUGGACGAAAGUCUGACCGAGCAACGCCGCGUGAGUGAAGAAGGUUUUCGGAUCGUAAAACUCUGUUGUUAGAGAAGAACAAGGAUGAGAGUAACUGUUCAUCCCUUGACGGUAUCUAACCAGAAAGCCACGGCUAACUACGUGCCAGCAGCCGCGGUAAUACGUAGGUGGCAAGCGUUGUCCGGAUUUAUUGGGCGUAAAGCGAGCGCAGGCGGUUUCUUAAGUCUGAUGUGAAAGCCCCCGGCUCAACCGGGGAGGGUCAUUGGAAACUGGGAGACUUGAGUGCAGAAGAGGAGAGUGGAAUUCCAUGUGUAGCGGUGAAAUGCGUAGAUAUAUGGAGGAACACCAGUGGCGAAGGCGGCUCUCUGGUCUGUAACUGACGCUGAGGCUCGAAAGCGUGGGGAGCAAACAGGAUUAGAUACCCUGGUAGUCCACGCCGUAAACGAUGAGUGCUAAGUGUUGGAGGGUUUCCGCCCUUCAGUGCUGCAGCUAACGCAUUAAGCACUCCGCCUGGGG